AAACUUGUGGUGUAUUGGUGAGCACGUCUGUCCGGCAAAUAGGAAAUGUCAGGUUCGAGUCCUUACCGGGAUUG
rnacentral:tRNA from 1 species